GACGAACGCUGGCGGCGUGCCUAAUACAUGCAAGUUGAGCGCUGAAGGUUGGUACUUGUACCAACUGGAUGAGCAGCGAACGGGUGAGUAACGCGUGGGGAAUCUGCCUUUGAGCGGGGGACAACAUUUGGAAACGAAUGCUAAUACCGCAUAAAAACUUUAAACACAAGUUUUAAGUUUGAAAGAUGCAAUUGCAUCACUCAAAGAUGAUCCCGCGUUGUAUUAGCUAGUUGGUGAGGUAAAGGCUCACCAAGGCGAUGAUACAUAGCCGACCUGAGAGGGUGAUCGGCCACAAUGGGAAUGAGACACGGCCCAAACCCCUACGGGAGGCAGCAGUAGGGAAUCUUCGGCAAUGGACGAAAGUCUGAACGAGCAACGCCGCGUGAGUGAAGAAGGGUUUCGGAUCGUAAAACUCUGUUGGUAGAGAAGAACGUUGGUGAGAGUGGAAAGCUCAUCAAGUGACGGUAACUACCCAGAAAGGGACGGCUAACUACGUG
rnacentral:rRNA from 1 species